rnacentral:misc_RNA from 1 species
GCAAACUUGGUCAUUUAGAGGAAGUAAAAGUCGUAACAAGGUUUCCGUAGGUGAACCUGCGGAAGGAUCAUUAUUGAAUAAACUCGGUGGGUUGUAGCUGGCUCCUUGGAGCAUGUGCACGCUCAUCUUGCUUAUCCAUCCACCUGUGCACACUUUGUAGUCUUGAGGGAGAUGAGAGCAAGUUGAUUGACUUUGACUUGUGACUUGUCCUCGAGUCUAUGUGUUUUCAUAUACCCCGUAGUAUGUUGCAGAAUGUAUUCAAUGGGCCUUUGUGCCUAUAUAAACUAUAUACAACUUUCAGCAACGGAUCUCUUGGCUCUCGCAUCGAUGAAGAACGCAGC